rnacentral:rRNA from 1 species
UACGUAGGCAGCGAGCGUUGUUCGGAGUUACUGGGCGUAAAGGGUGUGUAGGCGGUUGUUUAAGUUUGGUGUGAAAUCUCCCGGCUCAACUGGGAGGGUGCGCCGAAUACUGAAUGACUAGAGUGUGGGAGAGGAAAGUGGAAUUCCUGGUGUAGCGGUGAAAUGCGUAGAUAUCAGGAGGAACACCGGUGGUGUAGACGGCUUUCUGGACCAUAACUGACGCUGAGACACGAAAGCUAGGGGAGCAAACGGG